rnacentral:rRNA from 1 species
UACAGAGGUGGCAAGCGUUGUUCGGAAUUACUGGGCGUAAAGGGCGCGUAGGCGGCCCGUCAAGUCCCAUGUGAAAGCCCCCGGCUCAACCGGGGAACGGCGCGGGAAACUAGCAGGCUUGAGUUCGGGAGAGGGAAGCGGAAUUCCGGGUGUAGCGGUGAAAUGCGCAGAUAUCCGGAGGAACACCGGUGGCGAAGGCGGCUUCCUGGACCGACACUGACGCUGAGGCGCGAAAGCUAGGGGAGCAAACGGG